rnacentral:rRNA from 1 species
AGGGGGCUAGCGUUGUUCGGAAUUCCUGGGCGUAAAGCGCACGUAGGCGGCUUUGCAAGUUAGAGGUGAAAGCCCGGGGCUCAACUCCGGAAUUGCCUUUAAAACUGCAUCGCUAGAAUUGUGGAGAGGUAAGUGGAAUUCCGAGUGUAGAGGUGAAAUUCGUAGAUAUUCGGAAGAACACCAGUGGCGAAGGCGACUUACUGGACACAUAUUGACGCUGAGGUGCGAAAGCGUGGGGAGCAAACAGG